ensembl:snRNA Gm23730 predicted gene, 23730
GUUCUCGAUUCGGCAGCACAUAUACUAAAAUUGGAAUGAUACAGAGAUUAGCAUGGCCCCUGUGCAAGGAUAACAUGCAAAUUUGUGAAGCGUUCCAUAUUUUU